rnacentral:piRNA from 1 species
CCCUAGAAUGAAGUCACGUACAUGUUUGUC